GGGAAAGUGAUAAGCCUUUCAAGGAAACCAAAAGGGGAAGCUUUGUUUCUUUCCCAAAAUUCAACUGCCAGUUCUUCUUCACUAUCAUGCAAUGGAUUCUAUAAACUUCAUUGCCCUUAUUCUUUACAUUCUUAUAUUAUUCAUCGCUCUUUCCAGUGCUCAGCAGCUGUUUUGCUACGAAACAGGAAACUUCACAACCAACAGCACCUAUGCCCAGAAUCGUGGCCGCCUCCUCUCUGCUCUUGCUUCAAAUAUCACAGAAAAUAUUAGUUUCUACACUACCUCAGUUGGCCAAGGCAGCGAUACUGUAUACGGUCUUGUGCUUUGCAGAGUAGACUCUUCUUCAGAAGCUUGUUCCAACUGUGUCAAUUAUGGGAUUCAAAAUCUCAUAUCAAACUGUCCUAACCAGAAAGAAGCAAUU
rnacentral:misc_RNA from 1 species